UCCGCCGCGCGGCGACCGGGGCACGGGCCCGGCGCCUACGGGAGGCAGCAGUAGGGAAUCUUCCACAAUGGACGAAAGUCUGAUGGAGCAAUGCCGCGUGAGCGAAGAAGGUUUUCGGAUCGUAAAGCUCUGUUGUAAGGGAAGAACACGUACGGGAGUAACUGCCCGUGCCAUGACGGUACCUUAUUAGAAAGCCACGG
rnacentral:rRNA from 1 species